rnacentral:rRNA from 1 species
AAUCAAGUUUAAAUCCUUUAAUGAGGAUCAAGUGGAGGGCAAGUCUGGUGCCAGCAGCCGCGGUAAUUCCAGCUCCACUAGCGUAUGUUAAAAUUGUUGCGGUUAAAACGUUCGAAGUUGAUUAUUGUCCAGUACGGGUGUGACAUCGUCAAGUAAACGAUUGUCAUCACUUCCGGUCACUUGGACUAUAUGACUGAACACUAAAUGAAUAGCAUUGAUGCCUUUCAUUAGGCUAGAUGUCUAUUUAGUUCGGCUUACUUUUACCUUGAACAAAUUAAAGUGCUCAAAGCAGGCUCGAUAUGCUUGAAUAGUUUUGCAUGGAAUAAUGGAAAAAGACCUCGGUCUUAUUUGUCUUUUCUAUUGGUUUGAUACAGAUCAAGAGGUAAUGAUUAAUAGAAGCAGUUGGGGGCAUUAGUAUUACGGCGCGAGAGGUGAAAUUCUUAGACCGUCGUAAGACUAACUAAAGCGAAAGCAUUUGCCAAGGAUGUUUUCAUUAAUCAAGAACGAAAGUUAGAGGAUCGAAGGCGA